rnacentral:lncRNA from 1 species
AUCAUUGAACGACACAGAGUCAUGACAUAAUUAUACUUUCUGAGUUUAGCUUUCAUAAUCCGAAACUAACAGUUCAAGCAAAAUACAUGCAGUAGUCUGAUGCGCCUGUCUAGUCCCAGGUACAUUUGAACAUACAUAAUUGUUGCAAUAUUGGCUUCAGUAAGACAACAUUUCCAUCCCCUAUCACGCAAUAUAUCACCCAGAGUUUUAUAACAAGUCACUAAAAUGUGCAAUCCACUAAACAUGACGAUAAACUUAUCUUUUCCGUAAAAAUCAGGCCAUUCCCAUUG